CUUAGAAGUGAGAAUGCCGGUAUGAGUAGCGAAAGACGGGUGAGAAUCCCGUCCACCGAAUGCCUAAGGUUUCCUGAGGAAGGCUCGUCCGCUCAGGGUUAGUCAGGACCUAAGCCGAGGCCGACAGGCGUAGGCGAUGGACAACAGGUUGAUAUUCCUGUACCACCUCUUUAUCGUUUGAGCAAUGGAGGGACGCAGAAGGAUAGAAGAAGCGUGCGAUUGGUUGUGCACGUCCAAGCAGUUAGGCUGAUAAGUAGGCAAAUCCGCUUAUCGUAAAGGCUGAGCUGUGAUGGGGAAGCUCCUUAUGGAGCGAAGUCUUUGAUUCCCCGCUGCCAAGAAAAGCUUCUAGCGAGAUAAAAGGUGCCUGUACCGCAAACCGACACAGGUAGGCGAGGAGAGAAUCCUAAGGUGUGCGAGAGAACUCUGGUUAAGGAACUCGGCAAAAUGACCCCGUAACUUCGGGAGAAGGGGUGCUUUCUUAACGGAAAGCCGCAGUGAAUAGGCCCAAGCGACUGUUUAGCAAAAACACAGGUCUCUGCGAAGCCGUAAGGCGAAGUAUAGGGGCUGACACCUGCCCGGUGCUGGAAGGUUAAGGAGAGGGGUUAGCGUAAGCGAAGCUCUGAACUGAAGCCCCAGUAAACGGCGGCCGUAACUAUAACGGUCCUAAGGUAGCGAAAUUCCUUGUCGGGUAAGUUCCGACCCGCACGAAAGGUGUAACGAUUUGGGCACUGUCUCAACCAGAGACUCGGUGAAAUUAUAGUACCUGUGAAGAUGCAGGUUACCCGCGACAGGACGGAAAGACCCCGUGGAGCUUUACUGUAGCCUGAUAUUGAAUUUUGGUACAGUUUGUACAGGAUAGGCGGGAGCCAUUGAAACCGGAGCGCUAGCUUCGGUGGAGGCGCUGGUGGGAUACCGCCCUGACUGUAUUGAAAUUCUAACCUACGGGUCUUAUCGACCCGGGAGACAGUGUCAGGUGGGCAGUUUGACUGGGGCGGUCGCCUCCUAAAGUGUAACGGAGGCGCCCAAAGGUUCCCUCAGAAUGGUUGGAAAUCAUUCGUAGAGUGCAAAGGCAUAAGGGAGCUUGACUGCGAGACCUACAAGUCGAGCAGGGACGAAAGUCGGGCUUAGUGAUCCGGUGGUUCCGCAUGGAAGGGCCAUCGCUCAACGGAUAAAAGCUACCCCGGGGAUAACAGGCUUAUCUCCCCCAAGAGUCCACAUCGACGGGGAGGUUUGGCACCUCGAUGUCGGCUCAUCGCAUCCUGGGGCUGUAGUCGGUCCCAAGGGUUGGGCUGUUCGCCCAUUAAAGCGGUACGCGAGCUGGGUUCAGAACGUCGUGAGACAGUUCGGUCCCUAUCCGUCGUGGGCGCAGGAAAUUUGAGAGGAGCUGUCCUUAGUACGAGAGGACCGGGAUGGACGCACCGCUGGUGUACCAGUUGUUCUGCCAAGGGCAUAGCUGGGUAGCUAUGUGCGGAAGGGAUAAGUGCUGAAAGCAUCUAAGCAUGAAGCCCCCCUCAAGAUGAGAUUUCCCAUAGCGUAAGCUAGUAAGAUCCCUGAAAGAUGAUCAGGUUGAUAGGUUCGAGGUGGAAGCAUGGUGACAUGUGGAGCUGACGAAUACUAAUAGAUCGAGGACUUAACCAU
rnacentral:rRNA from 1 species